rnacentral:misc_RNA from 1 species
GGUUAUGUUUUAUUUCUAAUUUUCCAAAAUACUAAUAAGAAAUCUGAGUGUACUAAUAGAAUUCAACUAUUUGUGUAUUUUAGUUCUGUAGCCUGGAUUUAUUCACCCAAUAUAAGAUGAAAACAGUAUUUAAUUGUUAAGAAAAUAUGUAAAAUGUCGAAAAUUGAUAUUUUUAAAUAUUUUUUAAUGGAUAUCAUAUCUGGAAUAUAUAAAUAUGUAGGCACCACUUGUUAGUAUGAAAGUCACUGAUGCUCUCAAGGUGUUGAAAACAAAUUUUCUUAUUUUUCAAUAAAUGCGUUUUCUCAAUAGUAAAAUCUUAAAAUGAGUGUAGGAUCAUUUUUUCGUAGCAAAUUCACAAAACUUAUGCUCAGCCUUGCUCUGCUAUUUGUUGUUGCGCUUUUAUAUAAAAGCUGGAUCCAUACUGAGACUAUGAUCGAUUAUCCUAGUGGAUAUGCACAUGCGGAAACUUUCAAAUCAGAUGACUUCAUAGAUGAUGUAGAGUCUCUCUCCAAACCGGAGAAGACAAAUCGUCUGAAGAAGAAGUCGCUUGUCGAAGUUGGUGGUCUUGAAGAGGCUAAGGAACGAAUUCGUCAGCUGGAAGCAAAACUGAGAUCGUUGGAUGCUAGGAUACCUAGAGCUUUUCCUGAUGUCAGAUAUCUCAGCUACCGUGCAAAGAAGAGAAUUUUGGUGACUGGAGGAGCGGGCUUUGUGGGCUCACACCUGGUGGACACGCUGAUGCGCGCCGGACAUGAAGUGAUUGUUGUGGACAACUUCUUCACCGGUAGGAAGCAGAACGUGGAGCAUUGGACAGGUCACGAGAACUUCGAACUCAUUCAUCAAGACAUCGUCAACCCGAUAUUCAUCGAGGUGGACGAAAUCUACCACCUGGCCUCUCCUGCAUCUCCGCCCCACUACAUGUACAAUCCUGUCAAGACUAUCAAGACCAACACCAUAGGCACCAUCAACAUACUGGGUUUAGCUAAAAGAGUCGGUGCAAAAGUACUCAUUGCCAGCACAUCUGAGGUCUACGGCGAUCCCGAGGUCCAUCCUCAGCCAGAAACAUAUUGGGGUCAUGUAAAUCCAAUAGGACCACGAGCUUGCUACGAUGAAGGCAAACGUAUUGCUGAGACUCUGAGCUACGCUUAUGCAAAGCAUGACAAGGUGGUAGUGAGAGUAGCCAGAAUAUUCAACACCUACGGCCCAAGAAUGCAUAUGGAUGAUGGAAGAGUUGUUUCCAACUUCAUCCUACAAGCUCUACGCAACGAAACGAUAACUGUUUAUGGUCAUGGAAAACAGACACGCUCAUUCCAGUAUGUGUCUGAUCUGGUAGAUGGAUUGAUUGCUUUGAUGAACUCGAAUUAUACUCAGCCUAUAAACAUAGGAAAUCCAAUCGAGCAUUCUAUAGAAGAAUUCGCCUUCAUUAUAAAGAAAUUGGUGGGUGGAUCGAAUCCAAUAAAGAGAACAAAAGCAGUUGAAGAUGAUCCACAAAGGAGGAAGCCUGAUAUAACAAGGGCCAAGUUACAUUUAAAUUGGGAACCCAAGGUCUCACUACAAGUUGGUCUGCAGAGAACAAUUGCCUACUUCAGACAGGAACUGCAACACUCAGUUGGGGGCAUAGUUAAAGGCAGAUCUAUAGGAAACAGAAAAGAAGAUCUAAACCCCGGUUAAUGCUUGGCUUCUUAUUUUCCGGGACAAGAUAAUUCAAUAAUCUAUGCUAGGUGUGGUUAGAGUCAAUUACAUAUCCACUCUUAGCAUUGACUUGCUUCUAAAGCAUCUAUCGUACACGCUGAAAUACUUUUACUUUGUUGUUGAAUUUUUUGUACUACCUUGAGACUGAUAGACUAGCUUCAAAUUUAUUAAUGAACUAUGACUUGACUGCUCUGCUACUUUCUAAGUUUACCGAUUAUUGUUUCAAAUGUGUUAUUACUUACUUUAAUACGUUAAUACUGUGCAAAUGUUUAUCACUCUUGCCAUUUUUAAUUUAAUGUGAUUCAUCGAAAAAAGCUACAAGUAGCAUUGAUGAAUUUCUUAUGAAUGUCUUGUAAUCUAUGAUUUUUCGAUGUGUGAAUGGGAAUAGAAUAACUUGACCACUGCUAAAAACAUCAAUUUGAAUAUUUAGUGUGAUGCUACAUUGAACAAAACAAUUCUUAUACUAUAGUCUGAAUACAAAAUAUGUUAUUAAUUGAAAUAUAUGCAGUCUGUCCACUGUAUUUGAUCAGAACUAUGUGGUCGAGUAAUAGGUUGUACGUUUGUUGAAUAUUUUUCGGAUUGUCAAUUUGAAGAUUGGUACCCAGUUUGUAUAAUAAAUAAUAUUUAACACAUUAACCAUCUAUCCUGUAAAUGAAACUGGUAGAAUUCCUCCAACAUAACUGUAUAACAUUUUGUUAAAUUGCAUUUUGAACAAAAUCCAAAUAGUGGCGGUGAAGGCAAGUGAAUUAAUUCCUAUGUUGGGCUGAAAAUGUCACUGAAAUCAAUAACUUGCAAGAUUGAAGAAAUAUAUGGAAGUAAUAAACCGGUAUAACUUGAAAUUGAAGAUUUUCCACAUUGAGCUGAAUAAAUUGCAUCCUAGUUAUUAAUUUGAUUGAAAAAUUGAACAUAUACCUAUACUGUCCAGUUUAAGUUUAAGGGUACGUAUCACCUUUUUUCGAUUUGUAAAAUAAAAUUGAUUAUUCAGUCAUUGAUUGGGGCACGGGAAGAAAUGUUCAAAAAUAUGAAUUUCUCGAUAAAUUCUAUGAUAUACAUUUACUUUUCUGGUGAAUAUUAUUUCAAGCUUCGUUUCUCUGUUGAAAUAAAUAUGAAAUAUGUAUAAUUCUUAUUUAUUUAGCAUUCGAUGAAGAUAUUUAAUUCUGUAUUCUUGUUUGUUUGUCCAAUAUAUUUACAUUAUUUUAUCAGUUUGCUUACAAGCAAGCUUUUUUUAUUAAAGUGGCAAACUUCUGGAAUAAAACGGAACUUUGUAACCUGAUUUCAAAAAUCUCAGUCCACCCUUGUCGUUGGCGCCACAACUGAAUAUAGAGAAACAACCACUUUUGAAUCAUUCGUUAAAAAAACUUGAACAUCAUAAUGAAGUUGAUUAUUACUACAAUAGUAAAUAAUAUUAUUAUGUAUUACUUAUGAUAAAUAUUAUAUUUUGUCUAUCUGUUUAAAUAAAUUUGAAAUAGAGUUUCCAUUUUUUAAGGAAUUCAAUAUUCUGUCUUAUUGUUUCUGUUUAUCUAAUAUAAAUAGAAUUUUGAGUUUCAAGUGUUAUCGAUGGAUUUUCUACUUUUACUUGUAGACUAAUAAAUAUUUGAAUAAAAUUUUGGUUCUACUUGAAA